UACGUAGGGGGCUAGCGUUGUCCGGAAUCAUUGGGCGUAAAGCGCGCGUAGGCGGCCAGAUAAGUCCGGUGUGAAAGCCACAGGCUCAACCUGUGAAUGCCGCUGGAAACUGUCUGGCUAGAGUCCGGGAGGGGCGAGUGGAAUUCCUGGUGUAGCGGUGAAAUGCGCAGAUAUCAGGAGGAACACCAAUGGCGAAGGCAGCUCGCUGGAACGGAACUGACGCUGAGGCGACGAAAGCGUGGGGAGCGAACAGG
rnacentral:rRNA from 1 species